rnacentral:lncRNA from 1 species
GCCAACCUCUGCAUUACAAACCCUCCAUCAGACCUCCGCUGAUCCACACUGCCCACAUGGUGACCAAACACCAGGUUUGACACAGACCAAGUCUUUUAUUGCUCUGUAAUUGCAGUUUUUUUUUUUUUUUUAAUCAUUUUUAUGGAGUUAAACUUUGUAGAUGACAUUUCAGGUGAGCAAACAUUCCUCCGCAAACUCUGUGCUCCUUCUCCUCAGGGUCCAUUCGGGGUUUGGCGUAGCGGUCAUGGGAGGAAGGCCAGCAGAAAAUCUUUGUCUUCAGAUCUCAGUUGAGAAGCCAGAUUGUGGAAGUGACAGAUCCUCCAGAGGGGAUCAGCUGUUCAGACUCCCACCACCUCCUGGCAGAGCUCUGCAAAGGGGGCGAACUGAUCCUGCAGCUGUCGGACCAUCAUCCCCGGCUGUGUAACGCGACCAGAGACACUCCCAGCAGAGACCUGGCCUCAUCAUACUCUAUCUUUGCCAUGCUCCCUUCCAGAUACGCUGCCCCGACCACCGGGCUCCACCACAGUGGCCCCCAGGCCACCUUUAAACUCCGAACUAGUACCAGACAAAAAGGAGAGCUGCGUGAUUCGGACAAAGCCGGUUCAUAGCUGUUGAGAUCUCAGUGCAUCUAAGGAGCGCCACAUGAACGCACAUCCAACCACCUGCCUCUGUUGCCUCUGUCUGGACUCUCUCCCAGACUGUCCAAAUCAAAAACAGAAGUUUGAAGAAUGAAUGUUCACAUCUCCUUUAUUUUGGGUUCUUUUAUCUUUUCUCCGGCCAACAGAUCUGCUUAGUUUAGAAACUGGGCUCCACUUACCAAUUUAGUUUUGUUUGUAAAAUGUGUCUGUGGCUGCUGAGCUCAACUCGAGUGCCCCUCUGUUCUAAAAAUCAAUUUUUUUGCUAGAAAUGUUUUGGGAUUUCAAUUUGCCAGUUAAGAUGUUCAUGUCUCCACUGUGGCAAGUGUGACAGCACAAAUCGCACACACCUACUCGUUCGGGUUCAAGAAUGCUUUUGUGCCCACUUUAGAUAAUUAGAGGAUACUAUUGCAUUUAAACAUAGUGUUGAUAUCAAAGCAAGUUUUUUUUACUCAUUUUGUUUUAUUUAAUUUGCUUUGAAAACAGCUAAGGGAAUUAUUGAUCAAUCACCAAUAACUUCCAUCCAACCAUAUCACACAGCAGCACAUGUACCAUGUGAGCCCUUACAAUAAUAAACACUGAAUAAUAGAUAUACUACCUGAAUUAUUUAAAGUCACUUUUAUACACCGUGAAUGUUGCAUUUGCACUGAAGUGAUGAUCCAUGAUGGAGAUUUGAGAGGAAUCUGACAGGGCCUGGAUUUUGUUUUAACCCCUCAUACCUGUUUGUUGCACUCAGCCAGGCCACUUUCUUUUAUAUUUAAUUAAAAUGUUUAUAUGCACAAGAAAAAUGCAAGUUCGUCACUCUACUUGGCUUCUUUUGGAUUUCUGUUUGUGAGACUCCUGAGAGGUGUUCAUUGUCUGGUGUGGGUUUUGUUUUUUCUUUUGUUUUUUAAUUUUACUUUUUGUUUGACUCUAAUAAAUGUUUUUGCCACAUGUGUUGACAUAAUUGUUUCCGAGCUCAAGGGCAGCAUGACCUCCACUCAGUGAGUGUCUGCAGAAACGUUUC